ensembl:lncRNA
CGGCGUCGCGCGCCUGCCCGCCGCAGCCACUGGCGCCUCGCGCGGCGCCUAGGUCAUGGCGUCGCGCACGCGCGCAGGCAACCUCGGCGGCGCCACCGCGCGGCCUUCUGGGACUCGUAGUUCCAGCGCUGGGCGGAGCCCCGGCCGUCCCCGAGCCUCGAGCCCUGAAGGAGGCCCCGAGGACCAAGAGAGAGAUCUACGCGAGAGCCUCCGCGUAGAACGGUGAUGCUCCCCUAGCAUCCCGAGCUGGCACUGUCCUUCCGAGGGUCUUAGCCUCGGGAGCCACACAAGGUGCCAAGUCCCAGGAGCUGCUGGAACAUGAAGACUAUCAGAUGAUUCUUUAAAUGGCUCAUGGAAAAGGGGACAGAUUAAUAGCCCAUCCUCCUCCUGACCACCAUCAGUCCAUUCUAUUUUGUGUGUGGAAUUUUUUAAAUUGAAGUAUAGUUGAUUUACAAUGUUGGGUUAUUAAUAGCUUCACGUGUAUAGCAAGGUAUAUAUACAGACAUAUGUGUGUGUGUCUAUGUAUAUGUAUACAUAUGUAUUUUUUGUUUCCAAUUCUUUUCCAUUAUAGGUUAUUACGGGAUAUUGAGUGUAGUUCUCUGUGCUAUACAGUAGAUCCUUGUUGCUUGCCUGAUUUAUAUAUAGUAAUGUGUACAUGUCAGUUCCGAACUCCUAAUCUGUCUCCCCUACCCCAGCCCACUAGGGUUUCCCUGGUGGCUCAGACGGUAAAGGCAGGAGACCCAGGUUCAAUACCAGAAUUGGAAGAUGCUCUGGAGAAGGGAAUGGCACCCCACUCCAGUAUUCUUGCCUGGAAAAUCCCAUGGACAGAGGUGCCUGGUGGGCUACAGUCCAUGGGGUCACAAAGAGUCGGAUACAACCGAACAACUAACACUUUCACCCCACUCUGCUAUUCCCUUUGGUAACCAUAAAUUUGUUUUCUAUGUCGGUGAGUCUAUUUCUGCUUCGUAAAUAAGUUCAUUUGUAUAAUCGUUUUUUAGAUUCCACAGAAGUGCUAUCAUAUAAUAUUGGUCCUCUGUCUGUCUUAUUUCACACCAG